ACAACAAUCCCAUUCACACAAUUUCAUUCAGUAGGAACAAACACCUUAGGUUCACAACUGAAUCAAAUAAGAUCUUCAUAUAAAAUAUUCAAAUAAUUAAGAGAUCAUACAAACUUGAACUAAGUUUUCCUAUAAAGCUAAAAUUUGUAUAUAAAACAUAAUAUUUGUUCAUCUAAACAAUAAUUCUUCUAUAGUUCUCCCGGCUCCUACAAUGCACUCCUUUUCUAAAUCUUGAGCUGCCCUGAAAAAGAAAGAUAACAGAGAAAUUUUUAGAAUAUAGCUUUAAGACUAUUAUGAGAAGAAAUGUAAUUUGAUGAUGUACCAUACCAGUAUUUGGCAGCCCUCUUUGGUUCUUGCGCAAUUGCUAGGAUGCAAUUCCUGGUUAGACUUUUCCGGUAAAGUUGAUUCUAUACAGCCUUGAUUGAACCUAUCAAUUUUUUCAAUGUGCGCCAUACGGAAAACAUAAACAUUGUUUGACAAUGAAUCACAAGUUUAUGCACACACACACCAUAGCAACCAUGUAUGGUAAAGAUGAACCAGUGUAAUCCUCCUUGGUCCUCGAAGAAAAGCUAGGAUGCAAUUCCU
rnacentral:lncRNA from 1 species